GGGCCGUCCUCUCCCUCUGGAUGCCCUCGGGGCACAAGGCUUUCAAGAUCCGGCACCCUUAGUGUGCGAUCCACCGUGCGCACAUUCCUCUACUGCGCGCGCGCGAGCCGGCCUUGGGUCGUCCGGUCUCCAGCGCUGCCUGGAAUCAGGGCGGAACCGGCCACCGUGGCGAGGACCUGCCGGUGUGCUCUUGCUGAGCCCGGUACAGAUGGCAUUUGUUGAUGGGAGGUAAUAAGAGAAUAAAACACCAGAAGGAUGAUGACUCCAAGAUCGUUGCUGUAUGAGAAAUCGCAUUCUUCAUUCACAGAACAUUUGUCGCUCAGUAGGGAUUAGCCAGACGCUGAGGUACUGUAACAGAUCAGCCUCAGAACCUACUUACCUGUCAGCGCCAGUCUAGAAAAAACUUUUUUCCCCCCAGAUCCUAAAGGUCGUUUUCCUUCCUUCUUUUCUUCUAAAUUUCCAUUGAUAAACAUUUGAGUUGUUUUCGGGUUUUUUUGUCCACUGGAAAUGAAGCGGCCACGAACAUUCAUGUACCAGUCAUUUUUGUGGACUUUACGUUUUAAUUUCUCUUUUGUAAAUAACUAAAGUGGAAGUACUGGGUCAUAUAAGUGGAUGUUUAACUUACAGGAGACUGUCACGACCUGGGCUUGGCAGUUUGUCGCCCAGCAGCAAAGAGAAUGUUGCAAGAGGAUUGUAAAGCUUGGGGGUGGAGGCCAGCUGAGGCUACCCAGAAAAGCACUGCCAAAAGACAAAACCAGGGGCUGCAGAGCCGGCUCUGUGCUUCAAGGCGCUGGCUGAGGACAGAGGUUCGAUUCCCAGCGCCCACAAGGCUGCCCACAAAUAGAGGACUCAGAAGGCAGAGGCAGGAGGAUCUCUGUGUGUCUGAGGCCAGCCUGGUCUACAUCGUGAAUUCCGGGACAGCCAGGGCUACAUAGAUAGACCUCGACUCAAAUAAAACAAAAAGGAACUUUGAUUUGGCUCGGGUAUCCCAGGUCAAGGUCCACUGAUGGAAACUCAAGGCCUGGAACCUGCUUCCCCGCCUGAUCCCAGCCCAGCUGUAACCCCCACUGUGGCUGGAGGACUGUCCUCUCCAGGGGCCGGUGCCUACUUAAGCCGGAAAGCUCGG